rnacentral:rRNA from 1 species
GAUGAACGCUAGCGGCAGGCCUAACACAUGCAAGUCGAGGGGUAGAAGCUUUCGGGCUUUGAGACCGGCGCACGGGUGCGUAACGCGUAUGCAAUCUGCCUUGUACUGAGGGAUAGCCCAGAGAAAUUUGGAUUAACACCUCAUAGUAUUUUAGUGUGGCAUCACAUUAUUAUUAAAGGUUACGGUACAAGAUGAGCAUGCGUCCCAUUAGCUAGUUGGUAUGGUAACGGCAUACCAAGGCUACGAUGGGUAGGGGUCCUGAGAGGGAGAUCCCCCACACUGGUACUGAGACACGGACCAGACUCCUACGGGAGGCAGCAGUGAGGAAUAUUGGUCAAUGGUCGCAAGACUGAACCAGCCAUGCCGCGUGCAGGAUGAAGCAUCUAUGGUGUGUAAACUGCUUUUGUACGGGAAGAAACACCGCUACGUGUAGCGGCUUGACGGUACCGUAAGAAUAAGGAUCGGCUAACUCUGUGCCAGCAGCCGCAGUAAAAC